rnacentral:misc_RNA from 1 species
AAGUCGUAACAAGGUCUCCGUUGGUGAACCAGCGGAGGGAUCAUUAUAGAGUUUAACAACUCCCAACCCAUGUGAACUUACCUUUGUUGCCUCGGCAGUGGAGGUGGGAAAGCUACCCUGUAACGAGCUACCCUGUAGCGACUUACCCUGUAGCCGUACCGCCGACCUGCCGGUGGACCAUUAAACUCUUGUUAUUUAUUGACAUCUGAGCGUCUUAUUUUAAUAAGUCAAAACUUUCAACAACGGAUCUCUUGGUUCUG